GUAGGUGGCAAGCGUUGUCCGGAAUUAUUGGGCGUAAAGCGCGCGCAGGCGGUCCUUUAAGUCUGAUGUGAAAGCCCACGGCUCAACCGUGGAGGGUCAUUGGAAACUGGGGGACUUGAGUACAGAAGAGGAAAGCGGAAUUCCAAGUGUAGCGGUGAAAUGCGUAGAGAUUUGGAGGAACACCAUUGGCGAAGGCGGCUUUCUGGUCUGUAACUGACGCUGAGGCGCGAAAGCGUGGGGAGCAAACAGGGAUUAGAUACCCUGGUAGUCCACGCCGUAAACGAUGAGUGCUAAGUGUUAGGGGGUUUCCCGCCCCUUAGUGCUGCAGCUAACGCAUUAAGCACUCCGCCUGGGGAGUACGGCCGCAAGGCUG
rnacentral:rRNA from 1 species